rnacentral:rRNA from 1 species
AUACGGAGGGGGUUAGCGUUGUUCGGAAUUACUGGGCGUAAAGCGUACGUAGGCGGACUGGAAAGUUGGGGGUGAAAUCCCGGGGCUCAACCCCGGAACUGCCUCCAAAACUUCCAAUCUAGAGAUCGAGAGAGGUGAGUGGAAUUCCAAGUGUAGAGGUGAAAUUCGUAGAUAUUUGGAGGAACACCAGUGGCGAAGGCGGCUCACUGGCUCGAUACUGACGCUGAGGUGCGAAAGCGUGGGGAGCAAACAGGAUUAGAAACCCUAGUAGUCC